AGGCUAUUUAAAAUGCAAUUUAUUUCACCUGCUAAGUGUGUUUUGCCACACAGUGUUUCUAUGCCCAUUGCUGGUAACUUGUCCCAGACACCUCCCCAGGUUGCCAUAACGGAGCAUCAUGCACAGGUUGUUGUAGUGCCAAUAAUGGGUGGUACAGCCCUCAUUCCACUCUACCCUGCACUACCCUGAACAUCUAUCUACCCUCAGCAGUCUAAGGCCCUCUCCAGGUACCAGCAUCUAGAUUAUGGUUUCUUCCCCAGGCUUCGGGGAUGCACACACCCGGGUUGGGACCUCUGCACACAGCUUUGGAGGUGUACACACCCGGGUUGGGGCCUCUGCACACAGCUUUGGAGGUGUACACACCGGGGUUGGGGCCUCUGCACACAGCUUUGGAGGUGUACACACCCAGGUUGGGGGCUCUGCACACAGCUUUGGAGGUGUACACACCGGGGUUGGGGCCUCUGCACACAGCUUUGGAGGUGUACACACCCGGGUUGGGGGCUCUGCACACAGCUUUGGAGGUGUACACACCGGGGUUGGGGCCUCUGCACACAGCUUUGGAGGUGUACACACCCGGGUUGGGGCCUCUACACACAGCUUUGGAGGUGUACACACCCGGGUUGGGGCCUCUGCACACAGCUUUGGGGGUGCAGACACCUGGGUAGGGGCCUCUGCACUCAGUUUUGGGGGUACAGACACCUCAGUUAGGGCCUCUGCCUUGGGCUUUGGGGGUGCAGACACCUCAGUUAGGGCCUCUGCCCCGGGUUUUGGGGUUGCAGACACCUCAGUUAGGGCCUCUGCCCCGGGCUUUGGGGUGCAGACACAUGGGUUAGGGCCUCUGUACCCGACUUUGGGGCCACAGACACAAAGGUUAGGGCCUCUGCACCAGACACAAAGGUUAGGACCUCUGCCCCGGACUUUGGGGGUGCAGAUACCAGGGUUAGGGCAUCUGCCCCGGGCUUUGGGGGUACAGACACCAGGGUUAGGGCCUCUGAAGCAGGCUUUUGGGGUGCAGACACCUGGGCAUCUGCAGCAGGCUUUUGGGGCACAAACACCUGGGAUAGGACCGCUGCACCAGGCUUUGGGGACACAGAUAACUUGUUUAGGGCCUCUGAAUCCAGUUCUUGGGGCACAGACUCCUGCGUUAGGGCAUUUGCCUCGGGGCACAGACACCUGGGAGUCUGUGUUGAAGCUUUGGGGGCGCAGAGAUACAGUCGGCAUGCUUUUGUAGUUUCCCAUGGUGUGAGUAUGGUUUUGUUUUCUCCAGUUUGGGUCCUAGUUAGAACGGCUCUGCAAGUUCUGUGGAUUCUUACUGUAAAGCAGGCAGGUGGCACCAAAUGAUCACAAAUGGCUUUGCUGGGUCUGCAGUGAUGCAACAGGCCGUGGAUUUCCCACAGUUGUAAGAGAUCUCAGUCCUAAGCCUGUGUGGUGCUUCUUUAAGUACAACACUGCCACCUCCUGGUGAUACAGCACACUGCAUCCUUU
rnacentral:lncRNA from 1 species